GACGAACGCUGGCGGCGUGCCUAAUACAUGCAAGUCGAGCGGACCAUUCCUUCGGGAAUGGUUAGCGGCGGACGGGUGAGUAACACGUAGGCAACCUGCCUGUAAGACUGGGAUAACUACCGGAAACGGUAGCUAAGACCGGAUAACUGGUUUCUUCACCUGAAGAGAUCAUGAAACCCGGAGCAAUCUGUGGCUUACAGAUGGGCCUGCGGCGCAUUAGCUAGUUGGUAGGGUAACGGCCUACCAAGGCGACGAUGUGUAGCCGACCUGCGAGGGUGAUCGGCCACACUGGGACUGAGACACGGCCCAGACUCCUACGGGAGGCAGCAGUAGGGAAUCUUCCGCAAUGGACGAAAGUCUGACGGAGCAACGCCGCGUGAGUGAUGAAGGUUUUCGGAUCGUAAAGCUCUGUUGCCAGGGAAGAAUGCCCAGGAGAGUAACUGCUCCUGGGGUGACGGUACCUGAGAAGAAAGCCCCGGCUAACUACGUGCCAGCAGCCGCGGUAAAAC
rnacentral:rRNA from 1 species